rnacentral:sRNA from 1 species
GUGCUCUACCGUUUGGGCUGGGGACAUUAGCCUAACAAACUCUGGCCACAAGGAUCACGCGGAUAUUCUUGGGGAUGCCUAGCGAAAUGCGCUGUGCCUAGGCCUCGAACUCUCGCCUGCUCUCCGGUGGGCGGUCUCGAACUCCAGCCUGCUCUCCGGCAGCCCACAGCAAUGCGCCUGCCAAGACCUUAGGCUGCAAAACUCGCCACGGCCCAGAGCUCGCCUCCAAGUGCGCCCCGCACAGGGCAAGCUUUCGGCGAGGACUCGCGUCCCACCCAUCUAGCCCUGGCCGCUAUCCCAACUCCCGCAGUUCACAGAGGCGGCGGCGGUGAGCGCAGCCGAUGCCACAUCCUCAGCGGCAAGCUGAAGGAACCUGUCUCCUCUCUGGGGCGACCAAACGAUACGUCGAUGCCGGAACCGACCCAACGCCGGAGCCCGGCGACGUCCUUACCGUUGCUCUCCAGUUUGGGGCGGGUCGGGGGAAUGGCUGAGGAGAUGGAGUCGUCGCUCGAGGCAAGCUUUUCGUCCAGCGGGGCAGUGUCAGGGGCCUCAGGGUUUUUGCCUCCUGCCCGC